UUUGGGCACUGAUGAAUUGGAGGGUACAUCAAAUUUGAGCAGACAGGGCACUCCAGGAGCUCAUGCACACCAUUGUUGGAAUAAACUCCAUGCUUUCCACCCAAACCAAGAUUACCUUUCGUUGUUGUACCAUUAUUCUCUACUUUUGCUGUUCCAAUGUCAUAGUCUGCAACUGUGGGGUGAGAUUCAAGAACCUCUUUGCAAGUGCUGCCCCCAGGAGCCAUUUCUAUUCCAAAUUGAGCAGUACUUCUAGUAGGAUGACUGAAUCUGACAAUGUUGUAUGUUUUCAAAAUAUUUGAUGCUUCAUUCGCUUCUGAAUAAUAAAAUGGGGACUUCUUUAACCGCAGAAGGAAAUCGGGAAAGGAUAAAGGGCGUCCUGUUUGCUUCGGUGGAGGAAGCCGAGAACGGUUUUGGUUUGCUGUCUGUCUAUGCCCCCUGGCUGUGCUGCACAAUC
rnacentral:misc_RNA from 1 species